UGGGGAAUAUUGCACAAUGGGGGAAACCCUGAUGCAGCAACGCCGCGUGAAGGAAGACGGUUUUCGGAUUGUAAACUUCUUUUCUUAGUGAAGAAACAAAUGACGGUAGCUGAAAGGAAUAAGCAUCGGCUAACUACGUGCCAGCAGCCGCGGUAAUACGUAGGAUGCGAGCGUUAUCCGGAUUUACUGGGUGUAAAGGGAGCGCAGGCGGGACUGCAAGUUGGAUGUGAAAUACCGCAGCUUAACUGCGGAGCUGCAUCCAAAACUGUAGUUCUUGAGUGGAGUAGAGGCAAGCGGAAUUCCGAGUGUAGCGGUGAAAUGCGUAGAUAUUCGGAGGAACACCAGUGGCGAAGGCGGCUUGCUGGGCUCUAACUGACGCUGAGGCUCGAAAGUGUGGGGAGCAAACAGGAUUAGAUACC
rnacentral:rRNA from 1 species